UUGCCUAUAUAUCUUAAAAUCUUGAUCUUAAUAAAUAACAACAAUGGAUGGAAAUAAAUGAAAUAUAAAAGAGAAACAGAAAAAGGAGCAAAGAGAAGUAACCUAUGACUAAAUGGAAGAUGAAACACCACAGAAGAAAAUGACAGAUCGAACUAGAGUGAUGGUGCGAAGUGCAAUAGUGCGAAUUGCAAAGAGCAUCGAUGAGAGUAACAGAAAGAAGAAAAGGGAAGGAUUAAGUACCGAAGAUGGGUUGAGAGGGAGAGGUUGAGAG
rnacentral:lncRNA from 1 species